ACGUAGACGAAAGUUACGCUAAUACCGCAUACGAUCUACGGAUGAAAGCGGGGGACUCGCAAGAGCCUCGCGCGAUUGGGAGCGGCCGAUAUCAGAUUUAGGUAGUUGGUGGGUAAAGGCUCACCAAGCCAACGAUCUGUAGCUGGUCUGAGAGGACGACCAGCCACACUGGAACUGAGACACGGUCCAGACUCCUACGGGAGGCAGCAGUGGGGAAUUUUGGACAAUGGACGCAAGUCUGAUCCAGCCAUUCCGCGUGCAGGAUGAAGGCCCUCGGGUUGUAAACUGCUUUUGUACGGAACGAAAAGGUUUCUAUUAAUACUAGGAGCUCAUGACGGUACCGUAAGAAUAAGCACCGGCUAACUACGUG
rnacentral:rRNA from 1 species